AUGGUCGUCUAUGCUAGGCUUCUGCACGACAGCGUUGAUGAUUCGUUUGUUGAAUUUGAUCACAUCUUCCACAUGUUCGGUGCUGGAGUGGCUGAUCUCGUGGAAGGGUUAUGUAUUCCUCUUCUCACGGAUUUUGACCAUUCUUUUAGAGGGAUUCGGAUAAUGGGUUUGGUAGUUAGUACAUUCAUAUUCCUUGGCAUCCUCAAGCUGUUGGCUAGAUCUACUGCAAUUAUUGUGAUUUAA
rnacentral:rRNA from 1 species